rnacentral:antisense_RNA from 1 species
ACAACUGCAGCGAGAGAAGAGGCUGGCAGCAUGGGUGGCAGGNNGCUUGGCAGCCUCACAGGAUGCCUGCAAAUACCUUUCACUUAUGCAGUUUGGCAGUGCAGUGGUGCAUGGAGACAGCGUCUUGGGCCUGUACAGAAGCUUCUAUUCUGGAAUAGAACAGCUAGCAUACUACCAAGACUUUUCAAGGAGCAAGAAUGGAGCUCCCUGGAGAACUGACUGAACAUGGCUUCAGAGGCAGUAUCCAUAUAAGAGUCCUGAAGCUCAGAUGACACAGCUGAUAACAGGGAAGCCAGGACAGAAUCUCAUUGUUUUGAACACCAAAACCCGUUCCCUUGACAACUUGGCUAUACUACACUAUUCGAAUGUUGCAGAUACUGUGGUCACAUUUCAAAGGCCAGAUCUUUCCCAGGGCUUAAGCUGUUCCUUGGAUACUUUUGCUGAUGGUUUACACAUCUUCUUCCCACAUUAUAUUGUAACUUUCUU